UACGUAGGGUGCGAGCGUUGUCCGGAAUUACUGGGCGUAAAGAGCUCGUAGGUGGCUUGUCGCGUUGUCCGUGAAAACUCACAACUCAAUUGUGGGCGUGCGGGCGAUACGGGCAGACUGGAGUACUGCAGGGGAGACUGGAAUUCCUGGUGUAGCGGUGGAAUGCGCAGAUAUCAGGAGGAACACCGGUGGCGAAGGCGGGUCUCUGGGCAGUAACUGACGCUGAGGAGCGAAAGCGUGGGGAGCGAACAGG
rnacentral:rRNA from 1 species